rnacentral:tRNA from 1 species
GGGCCUUUAGCACAAUGGUUAGUGCAGUCGGCUCAUAACCGACCGGUUCCGGGUUCAAGUCCCGGGAGGCCCACCA